GGCAGCAGGAGUGGCUGCUGGAGCAGC
rnacentral:piRNA from 1 species